UACGAAGGGGGCUAGCGUUGCUCGGAAUCACUGGGCGUAAAGCGCACGUAGGCGGAUUGCUAAGUCAGGGGUGAAAUCCUGGAGCUCAACUCCAGAACUGCCUUUGAUACUGGCGACCUUGAGUCCGGGAGAGGUGAGUGGAACUGCGAGUGUAGAGGUGAAAUGCGUAGAUAUUCGCAAGAACACCAGUGGCGAAGGCGGCUCACUGGCCCGGUACUGACGCUGAGGUGCGAAAGCGUGGGGAGCAAACAGG
rnacentral:rRNA from 1 species